rnacentral:tRNA from 1 species
GGGGGUGUAGCUCAGUGGUAGCACAUGCUUAACAUGCAUGAAACCCUGAGUUUGAUCCCCAGUGCUACUA